AGUGUUUGAGUCCAUUGGCAAGUUUGGCCUGGCCUUAGCUGUUGCAGGAGGCGUGGUGAACUCUGCCUUAUAUAAUGAUUUACAGAAUGUCAACAUCACACUGCGCAUCCUCUUCCGGCCUGUCGCCAGCCAGCUUCCUCGCAUCUUCACCAGCAUCGGAGAGGACUAUGAUGAGCGUGUGCUGCCGUCCAUCACAACUGAGAUCCUCAAGUCAGUGGUGGCUCGCUUUGAUGCUGGAGAACUAAUCACCCAGAGAGAGCUGGUCUCCAGGCAGGUGAGCGACGACCUUACGGAGCGAGCCGCCACCUUUGGGCUCAUCCUGGAUGACGUGUCCUUGACACAUCUGACCUUCGGGAAGGAGUUCACAGAAGCGGUGGAAGCCAAACAGGUGGCUCAGCAGGAAGCAGAGAGGGCCAGAUUUGUGGUGGAAAAGGCUGAGCAACAGAAAAAG
rnacentral:sRNA from 1 species